UCAGUAACGUAGCCUAACGCGUGAAGUUGACCGCCCUGGGGAGUACGGUCGCAAGAUUAAAACUCAAAGGAAUUGACGGGGACCCGCACAAGCGGNGGAUGAUGUGGAUUAAUUCGAUGCAACGCGAAAAACCUUACCUACCCUUGACAUGCCACUAACGAAGCAGAGAUGCAUUAGGUGCCCGAAAGGGAAAGUGGACACAGGUGCUGCAUGGCUGUCGUCAGCUCGUGUCGUGAGAUGUUGGGUUAAGUCCCGCAACGAGCGCAACCCUUGUCUCUAGUUGCUACGCAAGAGCACUCUAGAGAGACUGCCGGUGACAAACCGGAGGAAGGUGGGGAUGACGUCAAGUCCUCAUGGCCCUUAUGGGUAGGGCUUCACACGUCAUACAAUGGUGCGUACAGAGGGUUGCCAACCCGCGAGGGGGAGCUAAUCCCAGAAAACGCAUCGUAGUCCGGAUCGUAGUCUGCAACUCGACUACGUGAAGCUGGAAUCGCUAGUAAUCGCGGAUCAGCAU
rnacentral:rRNA from 1 species